AUUGAACGCUGGCGGCAUGCCUUACACAUGCAAGUCGAACGGCAGCACGGGUGCUUGCCCCUGGUGGCGAGUGGCGAACGGGUGAGUAAUACAUCGGAACAUGUCCUGUAGUGGGGGAUAGCCCGGCGAAAGCCGGAUUAAUACCGCAUACGAUCUACGGAUGAAAGCGGGGGACCUUCGGGCCUCGCGCUAUAGGGUUGGCCGAUGGCUGAUUAGCUAGUUGGUGGGGUAAAGGCCUACCAAGGCGACGAUCAGUAGCUGGUCUGAGAGGACGACCAGCCACACUGGGACUGAGACACGGCCCAGACUCCUACGGGAGGCAGCAGUGGGGAAUUUUGGACAAUGGGCGAAAGCCUGAUCCAGCAAUGCCGCGUGUGUGAAGAAGGCCUUCGGGUUGUAAAGCACUUUUGUCAGGAAAGAAAUCCUUGGCCCUAAUACGGUCGGGGGAUGACGGUACCGGAAGAAUAAGCACCGGCUAACUACGUG
rnacentral:rRNA from 1 species